UUAGCUGAGAGGUGGUGCAUGGCCGUCGUCAGUUCGUACUGUGAAGCAUCCUGUUAAGUCACGGCAACGAGCGAGACCCACGUCCACAGUUGCCAGCAUACCCUCCGGGGUGGAUGGGUACACUGUGGAGACCGCCGCUGCUAAAGCGGAGGAAGGAGUGGGCAACGGUAGGUCAGUAUGCCCCGAAUCUCCCGGGCUACACGCGGGCUACAAUGGUUGGUACAAUGGGCAUCUACCCCGAAAGGGGAAGGAAAUCUCUUAAAGCCAAUCGUAGUUCGGAUUGAGGGCUGCAACUCGCCCUCAUGAAGCUGGAAUCCGUAGUAAUCGCGUUUCAACAGAACGCGGUGAAUACGUCCCUGCUCCUU
rnacentral:rRNA from 1 species